rnacentral:rRNA from 1 species
GGCCAGACUCCUACGGGAGGCAGCAGUGGGGAAUAUUGGGCAAUGGAGGCAACUCUUACCCAGCAAUGCCGCGUGAAUGAAGAAGGUCUUCGGAUUGUAAAGUUCUUUAAUUGGGGACGAAAAAAAUGACGGUACCCAAGGAAUAAGCCCCGGCUAACUACGUGCCAGCAGCCGCGGUAAUACGUAUGGUGCAAGCGUUAUCCGGAUUUACUGGGUGUAAAGGGAGCGUAGGCGGCGCGUUAAGUCUGAUGUGAAAACCCGAGGCUCAACCACGGGAGUGCAUUGGAAACUGGCGGGCUGGAGUGCCGGAGAGGUAAGCGGAAUUCCUAGUGUAGCGGUGAAAUGCGUAGAUAUUAGGAGGAACACCAGUGGCGAAGGCGGCUUACUGGACGGCAACUGACGCUGAGGCUCGAAAGCGUGGGGAGUAAACAGGAUUAGAUACCCUAGUA